rnacentral:lncRNA from 1 species
UAACACAAACGAUGCAAACGACUAAGCGCGCACAUGUUUUUGUCAUUUCUUUCAAACAUACGUUUGCAAAGUUUACAUAAACUUUGACAAACUAUGCAAACGAUAAAAAUGCGUUUGCAGUUUGUCGUUUGUCGUUUGUUAGAACAAACGCUACAUUUGUUUCUUACUUCAACCUGUUUAAACGAAGUAUUUGUUUGUACGUUUUUAAAAAGUUUGUUUACCAACAACAUGUGCAUGCAUUAUUGAAAGUUCAAACAGGGUCAGUAAAGACUUAUCAAACGAUGUAUUUGUUUCUAUUUUUGUAGCGUUUAGAAAACAACGACAAACGCGACACAACGUUUACAAAAUUUUGGUUAGAAAGAAAUGCAGCCUUAAUGAU